rnacentral:lncRNA from 1 species
ACGCCUGCUCUUUUUCUGAAGAGGUUAUCACUACAAACCGUAAAGUCUGAAAAUAGUUGCGUUAGAUGUUUUGGUGAACACACCGUGCACGACAGCACCAGCACAGUGGUCCCCUGUUGCUUCUGCCCCAAGACUCUCCUUCCUAAAUCAUGCAAAAGGCUUUAGGACCACUGAAGACACCCAGAAUGAAGGAAAAAAGAAAAAAAAAAGAGUGAAACAGCUUUUAGUAACACUGGAAGAAAAAUUAGCGAAUUAUUCACAUGUUUGAUGAGAAGGGCAAUGAUUUGGGAACAUGCAUGGAGCAGAUGUGAUUAGACUCAUGGAUGAGCGAGAGCUGCGACGGGUUCAAAGGCUGCAGAAGACCAGCUCGUGACAGGAAUGCAGACCCACCAGGAACGGCUGAGGCUGAGAGAGACGGAGAAGGGUAACCCCAAACCUGGACCAACCCUGACAACGGAACUGACUUUUUCUUCAAACGCUGGACAACAUGAUUUGGAUGCAAAGACUAAACAGAUUCAGCCGUGGAUUAAGAAAAAACACCAAGUUCGAAUUACUGUAAAGAAAGCAGAAAAUGUAGACGAGUCAGAAAAUAAAGUGGAGGAGAUAUUUCAUCAAAUACUCCAGACUGUGCCUGGAAUAGCUACAUUCUCAUCUAGGCCACAAGCUGUUCAAGGAGGAAAAGCUUUAAUGUGGGUUCUUUGUCCUUUGAGCAAAAAGGAAGAGAAGGCAUAUCGAGAAACUCAAGAGACCCAGGAAAGAGACCCUUUGAACAAAGACCAUGGAAAUGAUAAGGAAUCAAAUGUUCUGCAUCAGUAA